rnacentral:rRNA from 1 species
GACGAACGCUGGCGGCGUGCUUAACACAUGCAAGUCGAACGGAAAGGCCCUGCUUUUGUGGGGUGCUCGAGUGGCGAACGGGUGAGUAACACGUGAGUAACCUGCCCUUGACUUUGGGAUAACUUCAGGAAACUGGGGCUAAUACCGGAUAGGAGCUCCUGCUGCAUGGUGGGGGUUGGAAAGUUUCGGCGGUUGGGGAUGGACUCGCGGCUUAUCAGCUUGUUGGUGGGGUAGUGGCUUACCCAGUCUUUGACGGGUAGCCGGCCUGAGAGGGUGACCGGCCACAAUAGUACUGAGAGACGGCCCAGACUCCAACGGGAGGCAGCAGUGGGGAGUAUUGCACAAUGAGCGGAAGCCUGAGGCGACGGCGCCGCGGUCGGGAUGACGGCCUUCGGGUUGUGAACCGCUGUCGCCUGUGACGAAGCGUGAGUGACGGUAAUGGGUAAAGAAGCACCGGCUAACUACGUG